GAUGAACGCUGGCGGCGUGCCUAACACAUGCAAGUCGAGCGAACAGACGUGGAUCUUGCUCCUGUGACGGUAUCCGCGGAUGGGGAACGAACACGUGGAUAACCUACCUAUAAGACUGGAAUAACUUCUGGAAACCGGAGCUAAGGCCUGAUAAUAUAUUGAACUGCAUGGUUCAAUAGUGAAAGACGGUUGUUCUUUUACUUAUAGAUGGAUCGGCGCCGCAUUAGCUAGUUGGUGAGGUAACGGUUUACCAAGACAACGAUGCGUAGCCGACCUGAGAGGGUGGUCGGCAACGCUGGAACUGAGAUACGGUACAGACUCGUACGGGAGGCAGCAGUGGGGAAUCGACCGCAGCGCGAGAAAGGCUGGCGGAGCGCCGCGGCGUGAGUGAUGAAGUUAUUGGGAUCGUAAAACUAUCUUAUUAGGGAAGAACAAAUGUGUACGUAUCUAUGCAGGUGUGGACGGAACGUAAUCAGAAAGCCCCGGCAACCUACGG
rnacentral:rRNA from 1 species